GAUGAACGCUGGCGGCGUGCCUAAUACAUGCAAGUCGAGCGAACGGACGAGAAGCUUGCUUCUCUGAUGUUAGCGGCGGACGGGUGAGUAACACGUGGAUAACCUACCUAUAAGACUGGGAUAACUUCGGGAAACCGGAGCUAAUACCGGAUAAUAUUUUGAACCGCAUGGUUCAAAAGUGAAAGACGGUCUUGCUGUCACUUAUAGAUGGAUCCGCGCUGCAUUAGCUAGUUGGUAAGGUAACGGCUUACCAAGGCAACGAUGCAUAGCCGACCUGAGAGGGGGAUCGUCGACACUGGAACUGAGACACGGGCCAGACUCCGACGGGAGGCAGCAGUAGGGAAUCUUCCGCAAUGGGCGAAAGCCUGACGGAGCAACGCCGCGUGGGUGAUGAAGGUCUUCGGAUCGGAAAACUCUGUUAUUAGGGAAGAACAUAUGUGUAAGUAACUGUGCACAUCUUGACGGUACCUAAUCAGAAAGCCACGGCUAACUACGUG
rnacentral:rRNA from 1 species